rnacentral:rRNA from 1 species
UCUACGGGACGCAGCAGUGGGGAAUAUUGCACAAUGGGCGAAAGCCUGAUGCAGCAACGCCGCGUGAAUGAUGAAGGCCUUCGGGUUGUAAAGUUCUGUCCUUGGGGAAGAUAAUGACGGUACCUUAGGAGGAAGCCCCGGCUAACUACGUGCCAGCAGCCGCGGUAAUA